rnacentral:rRNA from 1 species
CCUACGGGAGGCAGCAGUGAGGAAUAUUGGUCAAUGGCCGCAAGCCUGAACCAGCCAAGUCGCGUGAGGGAUGACGGUCCUAUGGAUCGUAAACCUCUUUUGUAAGGGAGUAAAGUGCGGCACGUGUCCCGCUUCGCGUGUACCUUAUGAAUAAGGAUCGGCUAACUCCGUGCCAGCAGCCGCGGUAAUACGGAGGAUGCGAGCGUUAUCCGGAUUUAUUGGGUUUAAAGGGUGCGUAGGCGGAAUUUCAAGUCAGCGGUGAAAUUCUGGGGCUCAACCACGGAGUUGCGGUGAAACCUGGGGGCCUGAGGGAGGUAGAAGCAGGCGGAAUGCGUGGUGUAGCGGUGAAAUGCAUAGAUAUCACGCAGAACCCCGAUUGCGAAGGCAGCAUGCCAGGCCUUGACUGACGCUGAUGCACGAAAGCGUGGGGAUCGAACAGGAUUAGAUACCCGUGUAGUC